UGAAUACGAGAUGCUACGGCGUCGAAGCAGUCUAUGUCAUACUUCCAAGAAAAGCUCGCACUGUCAUAAACAAAUAAUGCCUGUACCAUAACCGACACAGGUGGGUAGGUAGAGUAUACUGAGGGGCGCGAGAUAACUCUCUCUAAGGAACUCGGCAAAAUGACUCCGUAACUUCGGGAGAAGGAGUGCCUUAUUUAUAAGGUUGCAAUAACAAGAUCCAAGCAACUGUUUAUCAAAAGCACAGGUCUCCGCUAAGUCGUAAGACGAUGUAUGGGGGCUGACGCCUGCCCAGUGCCAGAAGGUUAAAGAAGUUGGUUAGCAUUCGAAGCUGAUAACUGAAGCCCUGGUGAACGGCGGCCGUAACAAUAACGGUCCUAAGGUAGCGAAAUUCCUUGUCGGGUAAGUUCCGACCCGCACGAAAGGCGUAAUGAUUUGGAUACUGUCUCGGAGAGGGGCUCGGUGAAAUAGACUUGUCUGUGAGGAUGCGGACUACCUGCACCAGGACAGAAAGACCCUAUGAAGCUUUACUGUAACUUGAGAUUGAAAUUGGACUUUACUUGCGCAGUAUAGGUGGGAGGCGUUGAUAAUAUUCUUGCGGGAUUAUUUGAGCCAUCAGUGAGAUACCACUCUUGUAAUGUUAGAUUUCUAACUUUGUAUCAUUAUCUGGUCAAAGGACAGUUUCAGGCGGGCAGUUUGACUGGGGCGGUCGCCUCCUAAACGGUAACGGAGGCGCACAAAGGUUUCCUCUGAACGGGUAGAAAUCGUAUCUAGAGUGUAAAGGCAUAAGGAAGCUUGACUGUGAGACCUACAAGUCGAGCAGGGACGAAAGUCGGUCUUAGUGAUCUGACGGUGCUGAGUGGAAAGGCCGUCACUCAACGGAUAAAAGUUACUCUAGGAUAACAGGCUGAUCUCCCCCAAGAGUUCACAUCGACGGGGAGGUUUGGCACCUCGAUGUCGGCUCAUCGCAUCCUGGGGCGGUAGUACGUCCCAAGGGUUGGGCUGUUCGCCCAUGAAAGCGGUACGCGAGCUGGGUUCAGAACGUCGUGAGACAGUUCGGUCCAUAUCCGGUGUAGGCGUUAGAAUAUUGAGAGGAGCCUUCUUUAGUACGAGAGGACCGAGAAGGACAUACCUCUGGUGUACCAGUUAUCGUGCCAACGGUAAACGCUGGGUAGCUAUGUAUGGAGUGGAUAACCGCUGAAAGCAUCUAAAUGGGAAGCCCACCUCAAGAUAAG
rnacentral:rRNA from 1 species